CGCGCAGGCGGCUUUUGUAAGUUGGAUGUGAAAAUCCUAUGGCUCAACCAUAGAACUGCAUCCAAAAACUACUUAGCUAGAGUCUGGGAGGGGAAGAUGGAAUUAGUGGUGUAGGGGUAAAAUCCGUAGAGAUCACUAGGAAUACCAAAAGCGAAGGCGAUCUUCUGGAACAGUACUGACGCUGAGGCGCGAAAGCGUGGGGAGCAAACA
rnacentral:rRNA from 1 species